rnacentral:lncRNA from 1 species
CACGGGAGCAGCGUCCUGGGGGGUUGUCACCACGUUCUCUACUGGCACGCUGCAGAAUUAGGGGGUAGGCUUGUUUUUUGACGUAUGCCAUAAUCCUUUAGCAGAAACAAGGCCAAGCGUGAACCACAUAAUUUGCCACUUUUGCAGUCUUGGAGAGCAGUUCAGCAAUAUCUUCGGUCCCUUCUCCUCUGCUGCAUCCACGGGAGUAACUGCCUAUGCCAUCUGCAUUAUCAGACAGCCACCAAACAGCCCCACAAGGAAGAAUGUUGGUCAGAGCAUUUCUAGAGGCUGUGGUUGCCGUGGAAAGAAGGACAAGCAAGUGGAUUUAUUUUUUUAAUUGGAUUUUAAUGCCUCCAGACCUCCUUAAAUUACUUCUCUGGAAAAGCAAUGCCAACUACUCAAAGCCUAUUCACUUGAAUGGAUAA